UACGAAGGGGGCUAGCGUUGUUCGGAAUUACUGGGCGUAAAGGGCGCGUAGGCGCUUGUCAGUCAGAUGUGAAAGCCCCGGGCUGACCAACCGUGGGAACUGGACAUUUGAUACUGCAAGGCUUGAGUUCCGGAGAGGAUGGUGGAAUUCCCAGUGUAGAGGUGAAAUUCGUAGAUAUUGGGAAGAACACCGGUGGCGAAGGCGGGU
rnacentral:rRNA from 1 species